rnacentral:rRNA from 1 species
CGUUCGUCGCUCCUACCGAUUGAAUGGUCUGGUGAGGUGUUCAGAUUGCGGCAACGUGGACAGUUCUCUUCCCCUGACAUUGUGAGAAGAAGUCCACCGAACCUUAUCAUUUAGAGGAAGGAGAAGUCGUAACAA